AGCGAACGCUGGCGGCAGGCCUAACACAUGCAAGUCGAACGAACCUUUCGGGGUUAGUGGCGGACGGGUGAGUAACACGUGGGAACGUGCCUUUAGGUUCGGAAUAACUCAGGGAAACUUGUGCUAAUACCGAAUGUGCCCUUCGGGGGAAAGAUUUAUCGCCUCUAGAGCGGCCCGCGUCUGAUUAGCUAGUUGGUUGAGGUAAUGGCUCACCAAGGCGACGAUCAGUAGCUGGUCUGAGAAGAUGAUCAGCCACAUUGGGACUGAGACACGGCCCAAACUCCUACGGGAGGCAGCAGUGGGGAAUCUUGCGCAAUGGGCGAAAGCCUGACGCAGCCAUGCCGCGUGAAUGAUGAAGGUCUUAGGAUUGUAAAAUUCUUUCAACGGGGACGAUAAUGACGGUACCCGGAGAAGAAGCCCCGGCUAACUUCGUG
rnacentral:rRNA from 1 species